UACAUUUCAGUUUCUAGUUUUAGUCGCAGACGAGAGCUCUCAUAUUUAAACUUAAUUUAUUUUACAACAAAAAAUACAAUUUUGUCAGGGUCUCGACCAGCAGAUUAAUAUGGAUCUACUAAUUUAGAUAACCCAGAUCAGCUCUCAACUGAUGGGAUGUGAGAUCAGAUAUUCACCAGCUCCCCCUUGAGGAGUAUCUGGAGAGUGAAGUUUAUCAGUUUGACCAGAUGACUUCUGUUGGAAUGGAUCUACAAUGAUGACUUUGUAGCGCUCAACUCCAGUCCUGGGACCCACAGUGCUGCACAUUUUGUUUGUCUCUCUAAUCCGAUAGACUCAGAUCAGUUCAUGUAGCUCUCUGAAAACGCGCUGACGAUUUGAAUCAUUAAACAUAUUAAACAAGGGAGACAAACCAUGCAAAAUGUGCAGUGCUGGACCAGAAUCAAGAAAUACAGGUUUGCAAGUGGUGUACAGGUUUUCACUGAUUUACAAAAUGAUUCACUGUAGCAGCUGACAUCCGCUGGUCAAAAUGAUGUAAAUGCAAUAAAAAUAAAAUCCAAAAUGACACCUUUUACAAAAUGAUUGGGAAUGUUUUCA